UGAAGGAUAAGAAAGAUCUACUGCCUUGGACCUUCUAGGGUUUACCAAAUAGUCAAGUUCUAUAGGCUGGGAAAAUUGCUUGCCUUUCUUCUACCUGGUGGUCUUAAUUUUGUACCUGUUUAUCAGUUGAGGGAGACGACUGGGUCAUGUCAAUGGCUGUUAACAGACUAAAGUUUUUUAACUCACAGGUCUUCUGGCUCAUCCCCCCUACAGCCCACAACCUGGAGCUGUACGAGAAUUGGCUGCUGUCAGGGAAACAGGGAGACAUCUUUCUGGGUGACCGGGUAUCAGAUUGUCAGCGCAUUGAGCUCAAGCAGGGCUAUACCUUCGUCAUUCCCUCAGGCUGGAUUCAUGCUGUGUAUACUCCUACAGACACAUUAGUGUUUGGGGGCAAUUUUUUGCAUAGCUUCAACAUCCCUAUGCAGUUAAAAAUAUACAACAUUGAAGAUCGGACACGGGUAAGUAAUCUUAUAUAACAGUUGCAUGUGAAGAGGUUUACUCCAGUUAUGAUAGAUGUUACAAGAGAUUCACUGAUGGUUUAUCAAAACUUCCAUUUUUCUUUCAGUUAAAAUGCAGUGUUGACAUUUUGGGAACACACAAAAUUUUAAAUUUAAUUUUUUUUUUUUUAAGACAGAACCUUGUUCUGUUUUCCAGGCUAGAGUGCAGUGGCGUGAUCAUGGAUGAUUGCAGCCUCAACCUCCCAGGCUCAAGCAUCUUCCUGCCUCAGCCUCCCAAGUAGCUGG
rnacentral:sRNA from 1 species